GAUGAACGCUGGCGGCGUGCCUAAUACAUGCAAGUCGAGCGAACUGAUUAGAAGUUUGCUUCUAUGACGUUAGCGGCGGACGGGUGAGUAACACGUGGGCAACCUGCCUGUAAGACUGGGAUAACUUCGGGAAACCGAAGCUAAUACCGGAUAGGAUCUUCUCCUUCAUGGGAGAUGAUUGAAAGAUGGUUUCGGCUAUCACUUACAGAUGGGCCCGCGGUGCAUUAGCUAGUUGGUGAGGUAACGGCUCACCAAGGCAACGAUGCAUAGCCGACCUGAGAGGGUGAUCGGCCACACUGGGACUGAGACACGGCCCAGACUCCUACGGGAGGCAGCAGUAGGGAAUCUUCCGCAAUGGACGAAAGUCUGACGGAGCAACGCCGCGUGAGUGAUGAAGGCUUUCGGGUCGUAAAACUCUGUUGUUAGGGAAGAACAAGUACAAGAGUAACUGCUUGUACCUUGACGGUACCUAACCAGAAAGCCACGGCUAACUACGUGCCAGCAGCCGCGGUAAUACGUAGGUGGCAAGCGUUAUCCGGAAUUAUUGGGCGUAAAGCGCGCGCAGGCGGUUUCUUAAGUCUGAUGUGAAAGCCCACGGCUCAACCGUGGAGGGUCAUUGGAAACUGGGGAACUUGAGUGCAGAAGAGAAAAGCGGAAUUCCACGUGUAGCGGUGAAAUGCGUAGAGAUGUGGAGGAACACCAGUGGCGAAGGCGGCUUUUUGGUCUGUAACUGACGCUGAGGCGCGAAAGCGUGGGGAGCAAACAGG
rnacentral:rRNA from 2 species